UGGGGAAUUUUGGACAAUGGGCGAAAGCCUGAUCCAGCAAUGCCGCGUGUGUGAAGAAGGCCUUCGGGUUGUAAAGCACUUUUGUCCGGAAAGAAAUGGCUCUGGUUAAUACCUGGGGUCGAUGACGGUACCGGAAGAAUAAGGACCGGCUAACUACGUGCCAGCAGCCGCGGUAAUACGUAGGGUCCAAGCGUUAAUCGGAAUUACUGGGCGUAAAGCGUGCGCAGGCGGUUGUGCAAGACCGAUGUGAAAUCCCCGAGCUUAACUUGGGAAUUGCAUUGGUGACUGCACGGCUAGAGUGUGUCAGAGGGGGGUAGAAAUCCACGUGUAGCAGUGAAAUGCGUAGAGAUGUGGAGGAAUACCGAUGGCGAAGGCAGCCCCCUAGGAUAACACUGACGAUCAUGCACGAAAGCGUGGGGAGCAAACAGG
rnacentral:rRNA from 1 species